rnacentral:lncRNA from 1 species
AUGCCGAAAGGAAAGAAGACCAAGGGGAAGAAGGUGGCCCCAACCCCUGCUGUCGUGAAGAAGCAGGAUGCCAAGAAAGUGGUGAAUUCCCUGUUUGAGAAACGGCCUAAGAAUUUUGGCACUGGAGAGGACAUCCAGCCCCAAAAGGUGCCUCACCUGCUUUGUCAAAUGCCCCCACUAUAUCAGGUUGCAGCAGCAAAGAGCUAUCCUCUAUAAGCAGUUGAAAGUGCCUCCUACAAUUAACCAGUUCACCCAGGCCUUGGAUCGCCACAUAGCUACUCGGCUGCUUAAGCGGGCCCACAAGUACAGACCAGAAACAAAGCAAGAGAAGCAGAGACUGUUGGCCCAGGCUGAGAAGAAAGCUGCCAGCAAAGGGGAUGUCCCCCACUAAGAGAUCACCUGUCCUUCGAGCAGGAGUUAACGCCAUCACCACCUUGGUGGAGUGCAAGAUGGCUCAGCUGGUGGUGAUGGCACACCACGUGGAUCCCAUUGAGCUGGUUGUCUUCCUGCCUGUCCUGUGUCAUAAAAUGGGGUUCCCCCACUGCAUUAUCAAGGGGAAGGCAAGACUGGGAUGUUUAGUCCACAGGAAGACCUCCACCACUGUCGCCUUCACAGAGGUUAACUCAGAAGACAAAGGAGCUUUGGCUAAGCUGGUGGAAGCUAUCAGGACCAAUUCCAGCGACAGAUAUGAUGAGAUCCAUUGUCACUGGGGAGGCAAUGUCCUGGGUCCCAAAUCUGUGGCUCACUUUGCCAAGCUGGAAAAGGCAAAGGUGAAUGAACUUGCCAUUAAACUGGGUUAA